UUAGUAUGAGCAUAUUUUUCUAUGAAUCGGUUGCCGGUAGCUGGUGGUGAUUAUAAAGCCGAAAACGAUAACUGAAAGUAAGGUCACAUAUGAUGUGAUUUAUAAAUACUUUACUACCACCCAAUUGCAGUAAUGGUGCGCAUGGCCGUCUAAUGUUUGUGGAAAUUACUGUGUAGAAAAGAUAUAUUUCGCGUUGUGGCAAGUAACAAUUCAAUAUUCGCGAUGUCUCUGUUUUAUUUUUCCCUAACUACAGGAUUUCACUUGUUUAGCGGUACACCCUGUUACUCAAAUAUAAAGAUGCAAUUGAAUCAAUGAAAGAGCUCAGUGAAUAAAAGUGGUUACAAAAGGUUUAAGUUAUUAAAUAUUUCCCAGUUCAAAGUCAAGGUCGGCUUAAAGUGUGCCCCGGUAUAAGAAAAUGAUUUUAAAAGACACGACUGUAUUUGUAUUCAUCACAUUCCGAAAUUGCCUGCAUUGAAAUACUUCGGGGUUGUGAUUAAGUUUUGCAAUAAAAUAUAUAAAAAUUCGUAUAUAUGUAUGCACGUACGUACAUACAUUCAUAUUUAUACGACAACCUCUCAUAAUAUCAACCGAUGGUUGCAACCAUGCGCAUGGCUGCCCGAUAAUAGCAGAAAUGUCAGUGCUGAAAGGAUAAUACUAAUUCUACGACUAUUUUCUUUUUCGCUGAGUAAAAAAUUCGUUUGCUUUGGACACUUCCUCACUUAACCCAUGCUAUUAAGAUUAAACUUAAUCAGUGAAAAAAUCCAGUGAAAUUCUGAAAAAGAAGUCAGUGAAUGUUUUCAAAUUCAUAGUCAAAGUCAUUUCAAGAGAAAAUGAUUUUUGAAAACUCUACCUUGUGGAUUACAUAUGCCAAAUAUGAGUGUAGUAAAAACCUUCAAAAGUGGGCGAGGGCAUCAAUUUGAAUUUAGCUAUUGUGCGUAAAUUCAACAACAAAAAUAUAAUUUACCACAAUGAAUGGGACAGAGUGUGAAAAUAUGGCAGCAUCACUGAGAUGGUCAGAUCCAGCGAAUAUAAUAUCGUUAGCUAUACUUCUAUUUAUCAUACUCUUAGUAAUUUCCGGAAAUUCUUUGGUUAUAGCAGCAGUAUUCUGUUCAAACAAAUUACGUAGCGUUACGAAUUACUUAAUAGUUAAUUUAGCCGUUGCAGACUUGUUGGUAGGUUUAACUGUUCUUCCGUUCUCGGCAAUAUGGGAAGUUUUUAAGAUAUGGAUAUUCGGUGAUGUCUGGUGUCGUAUGUGGCUUGCUGUAGAUGUAUGGAUGUGCACAGCAUCCAUAUUGAACUUAUGUGCAAUAUCUUUAGAUAGAUAUGUAGCCGUUACCCGUCCAGUUGCCUACCCGAGUAUAAUGUCAACAAAACGGGCAAAAUCAUUGAUUGCUGGAGUUUGGGUGCUGUCAUUUGUUAUAUGCUUUCCCCCACUUGUUGGCUGGAAGGAUCAAAAGAAUUCAAAUCAAGCACCCGAUGAACGGAAUAAACAUUUGCCCGAACCAGAUACCGAAUAUGUAGAUUAAAAUUCCAAUUUCGAACUUUUUGUCGAAAAUAUGGUUUAAUCUGUAUUAUGGAAAUUCGGAGAGAAUCCUUUUCUAAUAAUAUUGACUUUACACUGUAUAUAACGGCAAAUGUUCGAUAAUACAGUCAGUGUACACACGAGAAAAUUACACCCGUUUCUAU
rnacentral:misc_RNA from 1 species